rnacentral:lncRNA from 1 species
AUGAGUGCAGGCAGCUUUUGCCAACACCCUCAGCGCAUCUCCUGGUGCACACAGCGUAACUGCUUUUGGGGGGUGUGUGCAUUAUUUGCUCUUCUGGCCAAGCAGUCCCACUGGAGGCAGGCUUCAUCUGCCAACACCGCUCCACACCAGCAAAGCCUGGUUUCUUCCCUUGACCAGCAUGCACGCAGACACCUUGCCGCCUUGCUGCUCGCUUGCUUCUGGGGGCAGCGGAGCUGCCUGAAGGGCGCCGAGCACCCACCCGCACCCUGCCAACGCCACCUCAUGUCCCGUGGGGCUGGGGUCGUGCGGGCCUUGCAGGGGGGCAAGCACAGACGGAUGGCACCGGUGGGAGCAGGAGGAGGGCAGGGAGGUGUCUGGGAGCACAGCCGGCAAGAAGGCGCCGGGGAGCCGCGGGCUGGCUCCCGCACGGGGGGCCAACAAGUGCCCGCCUGGGGUGGCAGCCACGAAAUGGAGACGGGCUCUCACGGAGCCUCGUCCCGCCGGGCGCCCGCAGCAGGGAGGGGACACCCGGGGACACCGCGGGGCGAGCAGCAGCCGCCCGGCCGCCCCACGGCGGCCGCAGCAGGUGCAGCGCCCCCGGCCCACGCGUGCCCGUGGACGGGGGGGCUCCCCGACACAGGCCCCGGCACCCACCUCGGCUCGGCCCGGCGGCUNNNNNNNNNNNNNNNNNNNNCCCCCGCGCCGGUCGCUGCUACCUGCGGCGGCGCGGAGCCGAGCGGGGCUGGGCUGGGCCGGGCCGGGCUGCGGGGGGUGUGUGGGGGCUGCCCGCGCCCGCCUCGCCCGGCCCCCGCCCGCCUCGGCGCCUCCCCGCCGCGGGGUGGGCCCCGGCAGCCCCCUCCUCCUCCCGGCGGCGGGGGCGAGGGGCGAGGAGGAGGAGGAGGAGGAGGAGAGGGGGAGGGCCCGGUGCCCGCGUGUAACAAGUUUGGGUUGCCCCGCAGUAUGGCGGCCGCCCGGCUUUUAUUUUUAUUCCCCCCGUACGGCGACAGGCUAGGUCCAAUACCUACGAUUUGUGUUUAG